CUUCAUUUCCUAACUGCUUUUACAGAUGCAGUGCUUUACCAUGGAUGAAUUGAAGAACGAUCGAAAGCUAUUAUGAAGCAUUUGUUAGACUAUCCAAUGAAGGUCUUAUCUGAUCUACUGAAGGAGGGCUUGGUGAGAUUAUUGUGGCCACCACGAGGAUCGAAACAAUGCUUGGGGAUACAGCAAUUGCUAUACAUCCUGAAGAUGAAAGAUACCACGAUUUUCGUGGGAAAUUUGGGGUUCAUCCAUUUAAUGGAAGAAAUUAAAGCUUCCAAUAGUUUGUGAUGAAAUCCUUGUAGAUCAGAUAUGAACUUUGGGACUGGUGCUGUUAAGAUCGAAAUGAUUUUGAGGUAGCUUGAGCUCAUUAACAUUUUAACUGAUGAUGGGAAAAUAAAUAGCAAUGGUGGUCCAGCUGUGACUGAAGCAUUAAAGGCAAAGGGAAGGGAAAUGAAGAUAUUUAUAAUCCUCAUCAGUAUUGUUGUUUUGGGUUAGAGGCUUAUCUGCUGACCUUGCUCCUUCUCAUGCUCAUGGUAUCAAUGGUAAGCAAAUUGUAUUAAUUUUUUUUUCCCUAAAUAUGCAAAACCUGAGCAUGCAUGAAUUUUUAAGUUGUUAAGUUGUGUCAAGAUCAUAUUCAUGCAUGAAGUGUGUCUAGUUAUCAUUGAUGAUGGUGCCGGUAAUUCUUCUUUAAGAACAUUAUAUUGUAUUAUUUUAAAAGUAAUGUUCAUAAAUAUAUUAGCUAAUGAGAAUUCAUCAUUUUAGUUUUUUUCUAGCUGGAAAUCCAGCAACCUAGUACUACUCCAAAGGGUUUGGCAGGGGAGUAAGAAUUGGAUUGUGUACCUUGGUGUAAGACUUCAAAAUUUUAUUAUAAUAUAAAAUAUCUUGUAACUUAAGUGUUUUUCCUGAUUUCCACUCGUUAAUUAAUUAUUUUAUAAUUAUGAAUAUACCCUAAACGUUUAAUCCAUUUUAAUACCUUGAUUGCAGGGAGGAGGGUGGUGUAGUGAUUUUGCUAAUUGCAGAGCUUAUAUUCACAAUAAAGGAGUUAGCACGGAGCUGAAACCAAUAAUUUUUUGUGAUAUUUUCAGCAACGAAAAACAAAAAAAAUCAAGGUAU